CAGUUCAUAGCCUCAACAGAAGAGAACAGAGCAGAGCAGGGGGACCUGGGCUCCGUCCAACUGAGCGCUAGUGUAGACUGAUCUGUCCUAAAGUGAACAACACAAGACAACCAGCAGAACAGACACAAUCAACACUAUCAGUCUGAUGUACAGUACGAGGGAAUAGAUGUUACCUGCACCAGCGAUGUGAGGAUCUGACUGAAGCGCCCUGAGGUGUCUGACUGGAUAGCGUCCUCCAUGCUCUUCUUAUAGCCUGCAAGACAUCAGACCAAGGAAGGAGGGAGCAGUGGCCCUACAGAACACCCAGUGGAGAGAGAGAGAGAGAGAGAGAGAGAGAGAGAGAGAGAGAGAGAG